rnacentral:rRNA from 1 species
UACGUACGGGGGCAAGCGUUGUCCGGAUUUAUUGGGCGUAAAGGGUGCGUAGGCGGCCAUUUAAGUCAGAUGUGAAAGAUCACGGCUCAACCGUGGUAAGCAUUUGAAACUGAAAGGCUUGAGUUAAGGAGAGGAAAGUGGAAUUCCUAGUGUAGCGGUGAGAUGCGUAGAUAUUAGGAGGAAUACCAGUGGCGAAGGCGACUUUCUGGACUUAUACUGACGCUGAGGCACGAAAGCGUGGGGAGCGAACAGGAUUAGAUACCCUGGUAGUCCACGCCGUAAACGAUGAGUGCUAGGUGUUAGGCCCUUUCCGGGGCUUAGUGCCGCAGCUAACGCAUUAAGCACUCCGCCUGGGGAGUACGACCGCAAGGUUGAAACUC